GGAUAUUUUUCAGAUAAUUGCACUUGGGAGAUCAUUGAACUUUUUGAUUGUGUGAUUUAGUGUUUCUCUUUAAAAUGAAAUUUGAGAGCAAGAAUAUGGAGUUGGGGAUAUCCUACUCAUCUCCUUCCAAAGAAACAAGCAUUUGGCAGCCUUUCACAGAAAAAAAGCACAGUUGUGAGUGCACUGGAAUUCAGGUCAGAGGUAGCAAACCUCAGGAUAGCCCAAGAAUGAAGACGGCUGCUUUAAAUACUUAUUAUAUUGGGUAAUGACAGAAGAAAGCCACUGUACUAGAAAGGGCGUAGCCCAGACUUGCUGUAAGAGGGUGAUUUAUGCACCAGACCAUAGGCUGACACUGAUGACCAAGGACACCUGGGGCUGAGCUGUACACCCAGGGAAGCAGGUAAGUGUCAGGGAAGGGUGUGUGUGAGAACACCAAGCUGGUUGUGCCCACAGGGAGGGGGACUUGCUAAUACAUUGUCAGGAACAUCACAAAGUGAGGUUGUACUUUUAUUUCUUUUGCAAUUACGUAUUGAGUGUGCACAGUACUGUAGGGGCUGGGAGGGGAUAAAAGAGCUGAAUGGCUUUCUCUAGAAUGGUGGCCUGUCUCCUGAGUAGUAACUUGCUGACCCUGCCCCUGAAGUGAAAAAGAGGGUGAAGGGCUACUUGCUCAAGCUUGUUCUCUUUUCUUACCUCUUCCCCCUCUGUGGUUUCCUCUGCCGCUGAACAGGGCCCAGGCAGCCUGCCAUGAGAUCGUGCUCCAAGGACCGGCCGUUCUGCUGGACCCACGGGCUCCUGGUAUUCAUCAGCCUGCUCCUCAGUGUCUGCAGCUCUGCAGCCAACACUUCCGGAGCGCAUGGCUCUGCUGUGAAGGAUUCUGGAAACCACAUUUAUCUGAAGCGCAUCCGAGGAGGUUCUGUCUUGUUUAAUGUGACCGAGAAGCCCAUGGCAGAUGCAGGAGCCGAAAUACAGGAGGUUUUAUGGGGUUUGGGCACUCCGUUCAAGCACAGGCGGCUGCUGCAAGUCCGUAGAGGAGCCGACUCCCCCACCUGGUUGAGCCUCCAGGACAAGUUCAAGCAGAGGGUCCAUGUGCCCAGCCUGUGGUCUCUGAGGAUUGAGAACCUGGCCCCUGAAGACAGUGGGCCAUACGUGGCCAUGACCCGCUUAACUGAUGGACAAAUGCUUGGUCACGUUUUCUACCUGACUGUCUAUGAGCCUGUGCCUCACCCUGAGAUCCUGGCCAAGUCACUGUCUAUCACACCAGGCCUGUGUAACAUCACUCUGGAGUGUAGGGUUCCAGGGGCCACCCAGGAUCUGAAUGUGACUUGGGAGAGCAAGGGCCUCUUCAGAGAGCUGGAACAGAGAGACACACCAGGAUCAACCGCCAAGCUUUGGACCCUGGCUGUGAGCCUGCCCCUGAGCCAGCGGAUCGGCGAUCUCACCUGUGUGGUCAGCAACCAGGUGGAUCAGAAAGCUGCGACCUUAGACCUUGGGAAAGUCUGUGCCCAAGGUUUACACAAACAGGAUGUGACUAGACUGCUGCCAGGCAUCCUAGGGGCUUCUGUGGCUGUGCUGUUAGUCCUGGGAAGUGGGCUGUAUGUUUUGAAGACAUGUCAGAAGAAGAAGAUGGUGAUGGAAAUAAAAAGGGGUGGAGGAUUGCAGAAGAACCAUGGGGUUGAUGAUGGUGGCAUCCCCUUUGAGACGCUCAGCCAGCAAGUGCAAGGUGAGGGCAAGGACAAGGUGAGUGCCAGGGCACUGGCCACCCUGGGAACUCCCACGUCUCUCUGCCCAGCCUUGGGCUUCCAAUUCCAGGAGCUGUCACUUCUGGUCCAACUGCCUAUUUAUCUAUAUCUGGAUAAUCAACAGUAUUGA
rnacentral:lncRNA from 1 species